rnacentral:rRNA from 1 species
GGCUCCGGCGCAAAGAGAGGCCCAAGUGAGAUUAGCUAGUUGGUAAGGUAACGGCUUACCAAGGCGACGAUCUCUAGCUGUUCUGAGAGGAAGAUCAGCCACACUGGGACUGAGACACGGCCCAGACUCCUACGGGAGGCAGCAGUGGGGAAUAUUGCACAAUGGGGGAAACCCUGAUGCAGCCAUGCCGCGUGUGUGAAGAAGGCCUUCGGGUUGUAAAGCACUUUCAGUUGUGAGGAAAAGUUAGUAGUUAAUACCUGCUAGCCGUGACGUUAACAACAGAAGAAGCACCGGCUAACUCCGUGCCAGCAGCCGCGGUAAUACGGAGGGUGCGAGCGUUAAUCGGAAUUACUGGGCGUAAAGCGCACGCAGGCGGUUUGUUAAGCUAGAUGUGAAAGCCCCGGGCUCAACCUGGGAUGGUCAUUUAGAACUGGCAGACUAGAGUCUUGGAGAGGGGAGUGGAAUUCCAGGUGUAGCGGUGAAAUGCGUAGAUAUCUGGAGGAACAUCAGUGGCGAAGGCGACUCCCUGGCCAAAGACUGACGCUCAUGUGCGAAAGUGUGGGUAGCGAACAGGAUUAGAUACCCUGGUAGUCCACACCGUAAACGCUGUCUACUAGCUGUGUGUGUCUUUAAG